CCGUCACCGGGCCCAGAACUCGUCAAUAAAUUGAGGAAGCAAGGAGUAGAUGUGGACGACAUGACGGAAUUCAUCAAAGCGUUGAAGUUCUGCGAUCCUAAAAAAGCCAGCGUUGCCGACAAGAAAAAAGAUAUGGAAAAGCUUCGCGACACCCUGGCAGAUGCCUGGACGUACCUUAAAUACGCGGAGAAAAAGAUGCCAGAGUACACCAAAACGCCUGAAUACAUACAAAAGGU